UACGUAGGGAGCGAGCGUUAAUCGGAAGUACUGGGCGUAAAGCGUGCGCAGGCGGUUAUGUAAGACAGAGGUGAAAUCCCCGGGCUCAACCUGGGAACUGCCUUUGUGACUGCAUGACUAGAGUACGGCAGAGGGGUAUGGAAUUCCGCGUGUAGCAGUGAAAUGCGUAGAUAUGCGGAGGAACACCGAUGGCGAAGGCAAUCCCCUGGGCCUGUACUGACGCUCAUGCACGAAAGCGUGGGGAGCAAACAGG
rnacentral:rRNA from 1 species